AUUGAACGCUGGCGGCAGGCCUAACACAUGCAAGUCGAACGGCAGCACAGAAGAACUUGCUCUUUGGGUGGCGAGUGGCGGACGGGUGAGUAAUGUCUGGGAAACUGCCCGAUGGAGGGGGAUAACUACUGGAAACGGUAGCUAAUACCGCAUAACGUCGCAAGACCAAAGUGGGGGACCUUCGGGCCUCACACCAUCGGAUGUGCCCAGAUGGGAUUAGCUAGUAGGUGGGGUAAUGGCUCACCUAGGCGACGAUCCCUAGCUGGUCUGAGAGGAUGACCAGCCACACUGGAACUGAGACACGGUCCAGACUCCUACGGGAGGCAGCAGUGGGGAAUAUUGCACAGUGGGCGCAAGCCUGAUGCAGCCAUGCCGCGUGUAUGAAGAAGGCCUUCGGGUUGUAAAGUACUUUCAGCGGGGAGGAAGGCGGUGAGGUUAAUAACCUUGCCGAUUGACGUUACCCGCAGAAGAAGCACCGGCUAACUCCGUGCCAGCCGCCGCUGUAA
rnacentral:rRNA from 1 species